rnacentral:rRNA from 1 species
GACGAACGCUGGCGGCGUGCCUAAUACAUGCAAGUCGAGCGGAGUUAGAGAAGCUUGCUUCUCUAACUUAGCGGCGGACGGGUGAGUAACACGUGGGCAAUCUGCCCGUAAGACUGGGAUAACUCCGGGAAACCGGGGCUAAUACCGGAUAAUCCUGACUCUCUCCUGAGAGUCAGUUGAAAGAUGGUUUCGGCUAUCACUUACGGAUGAGCCCGCGGCGCAUUAGCUAGUUGGUAGGGUAAUGGCCUACCAAGGCGACGAUGCGUAGCCGACCUGAGAGGGUGAUCGGCCACACUGGGACUGAGACACGGCCCAGACUCCUACGGGAGGCAGCAGUAGGGAAUCUUCCGCAAUGGACGAAAGUCUGACGGAGCAACGCCGCGUGAGUGAAGAGGUUUUCGGAUCGUAAAACUCUGUUGUUAGGGAAGAAUACGUACGAGAGUAACUGCUCGUACCUUGACGGUACCUAACCAGAAAGCCACGGCUAACUACGUG